rnacentral:rRNA from 1 species
AUUGAACGCUGGCGGCAGGCUUAACACAUGCAAGUCGAGCGGAGUGAUGGUGCUUGCACUAUCACUUAGCGGCGGACGGGUGAGUAAUGCUUAGGAAUCUGCCAUUUAGUGGGGGACAACAUUCCGAAAGGAAUGCUAAUACCGCAUACGUCCUACGGGAGAAAGCAGGGGAUCUUCGGACCUUGCGCUAAAUGAUGAGCCUAAGUCGGAUUAGCUAGUUGGUGGGGUAAAGGCCUACCAAGGCGACGAUCUGUAGCGGGUCUGAGAGGAUGAUCCGCCACACUGGGACUGAGACACGGCCCAGACUCCUACGGGAGGCAGCAGUGGGGAAUAUUGGACAAUGGGCGGAAGCCUGAUCCAGCCAUGCCGCGUGUGUGAAGAAGGCCUUUUGGUUGUAAAGCACUUUAAGCGAGGAGGAGGCUCUUCUAGUUAAUACCUAGGAUGAGUGGACGUUACUCGCAGAAUAAGCACCGGCUAACUCUGUGCCAGCAGCCGCUGUAAAAC